UUUUAUAAAACAUAACCAAUGUCAGUGUUUGCAUCUCUGGAUUGUGAUAGUUCUGAUGGGCUACCUAAUGGUACCAACCAAGAAAUAAGGAAUGAGAUAUAAGUCCAAGAUGGCGGAAUUUGGGUGAAAUCAGUGGUUGUUCUGGACUCUGGAUAGGACAGACGGUGACAGCAAUUUCUUGUUGAAGGUAACAUGUCCCAAAGUCCCCCAGUGGGUGUCUGAAGGCAUUGACAGUGCUGACUUUGUAUGCACCAUGUCUUGCCUGUAUAUACUGUUUGUUUGUAUUGCUUGUAUAUACUGUUACGGUUUUAGGAUAUGAACUGCUCCCCCAUCCCCCAAGUCUCUAAUGUUGAAGCUUUGGUCAUCAAUUUAAUGAUCACAGGUGGGGUUGCCCUAAUCAGUGUAUUAAUCCAUUGACAGAUUAGAAAAUCUUAAUAGAUCAUCAUUGCAUGUAUGGACACUUGUUAACGUGAAUGUCAUAGUACUCACGUGGAGGUCAAGACCGAUUUCAGCAGUCAGUUUUCUCUUCCCACCUCCAGCUGGGUUCUUGAGGGUUGAAUUAGGAUUCUAGGCUUGCUCAGCUCUGGUCUUGGAUUUUAUUUUAUUUUUUGAGACAAGAUCUUAUGUAUCCCAGUCUGGCCUGGGACAACUCAUCUUCCUGUCUCUGCUUCCUGAGUGUUAAGUUCACAGGGUGUGCCACCACUCCUAGUUUGUGUGCUGAGAUUCAGGGCUUCAGGAGUGGUAGGCAGACACUGUACUCGUUAAGCCACUUGUUCUGAGCUAUUGGUUGAUGGAUUCUUAAUCUGAGGCAGCAGUAACAGGAAGUGACAACUAGGGGAUGGGGCAUACUUGGGAAAGGCAACAAGGGGGUGGGCCCGAGUUGGGAAGUGGUACUGUGCCUUGGAAGGCUGUAUUUAUCCAUGGCCUCGUCUCUGGCCUCCAUGAAGUGAGCAGCUGCCUCUGUUCAACCCACACAAGUUCACUGCCUCCCCUCUGUGCUACAGUCAUGACACUGCGCACCACGGGCCCCUUGCAGUGCAGCUGCCCAAGGACGGAUUGAAAUCUACGAAGUGGUGGGACAAAGCGGCUUCUUUCCGUAAGCUGUAAAUCCCCAUAUUUUGUUAUAAAAAUGGAAAAAGAAGAAAGCAUAAAAGCAACAACAACAGCACCCAAAACUAAAAUUGUAUGAAUGUGGUCUGUUUCUCUCAAAAUAACUUCUACGCUUACCUUCACAUAAAUAAAGCACUUGGCACGUUCUCUGUGUUAUUUCUCCA
ensembl:lincRNA